AAAAGGCCUAGCUCUAUAGGGAUCCUUUCCAUAAUGUUGUCAGACACUUAGAAUACUAAUCUGAGCCUGUCAGCGGGAAAAACAACACUUUAAGUGGACCAAAUUAACGAUGCACAUUUGCUCAAUAGGGUUACAUUGCAGCCUGGUCUGGGAUACAGCGUUCAUGCUUAAAACUGGAUCAAUUUCAAAGAUUGUUGUUCCUAUAAGUCACUUACACACAAAAACAUAGAAAAAUAGGGUCCAUGUUGAAAAAACCUGAAAUUACCCUUUAAAGAGGUAAGACUGAUGCAAGUGUGGCAGAAUACCUACCCUCUAAUGUCUAACUAAAGACACUCUGUGUUUAUUGUUUCUUGCCUUGUCUGACUUUGUUGUAGUGAUGUUGGCAGCAAUUGAGUCCAGGACCUUUUCUGCAUGUCAUCCCAUCUCUCUCCCCUACCUAUCCUGUCUUUCUCCAAGCUAUAACUAUCCAAUAAAGCAGAAAUGCAGAAAAAAUAUCUUUAUAAAAUGAAGAUAUAACGCUGCUGGAUGUGAAAACAAAUUCCUACUCUGUAAUAUGAAGUGUCAUAUUCAAUGGAUGUCUGUGCACAUUGAUCUCCAACUCUGGCUCAAAUCAGAACAUACUAAGUAAUACACAAAAAACAUAACAACCAAAAACAAAUCACCCAAAAAAAAGCUGUUGCGGAAGAGUAGAACAGUAACAUGACAAAAGCAUGACUUAAAUUUAACACAUUCAUUAUGUGUUUGUUGUCAUGUUGGUUUUCAUGUUUCCUAUUGAAACUUUAUUCCUAAAAAUGUGGAUUUAAAUGUGAAUGAAAAUGAUUCAGAACAUGUGCAUGGUCCCCAACCUAAGCUGUUGUCUCAGUACAAUGUCCAAAAAUGCUACCUAGGUUAUGACCUCUUUAAACACUAUCUCAGGGCUUGUUGUCCUAAUGUUUGUUGUUGACAUUGUCUAACAAGUGCUGCAUUCACACUUUGAGAGGGAACAAUGACUGCACCUGUGCUCCAUGAAAAUGAAUGACAACAGAACAGAAGAUAAGCCAUAAUGCAAAAGGAGGGACUGUUCCAGACUGUACAUGCAACCCCAAUGUCAUGGAUGGGUUUGAGAUUAUAAAGCACACUGCUGUUAC